rnacentral:rRNA from 1 species
UACGGAGGGUGCAAGCGUUAUCCGGAUUCACUGGGUUUAAAGGGUGCGUAGGCGGCUAUAUAAGUCAGUGGUGAAAGCCCGCAGCUCAACUGCGGAAUUGCCAUUGAAACUGCAUAGCUUGAAUCUGGUUGAAGUGGGCGGAAUACAUCAUGUAGCGGUGAAAUGCUUAGAUAUGAUGUAGAACACCGAUUGCGAAGGCAGCUCACUAAGCCAACAUUGACGCUGAGGCACGAAAGCGUGGGUAGCGAACAGGAUUAGAAACCCCUGUAGUCC